rnacentral:lncRNA from 1 species
CUGCACUUAUGGCAUAUGGAAGUUCCCAGGCUAGGGAUUGAAUCGUAGCUGCAGCUGCUGGCCUCCACCACAGCCGCAACUAGCCAGAUCUGAGCUGCCUCUGCGACCUACACUGCAACUUGAAGCAACACCCAAUCCUUAACCCACUGAGCCACAAGGGGAACUCCUCAUGCUGUGAUUGUAACCUCGACUCCCAGGACAGAAGGUGCUGCCCUUCUCACGUGGUACUAUAUUGUCACUGCUGCCCCACCUUAUAAAAGAGAGGAGGAUUCCUUGGUUUAACAGACAGUUGUUGUUUAGACUCAGCAAGAUAUUCACGGAGUAAGUCCUGAAGCGUUAAGUCCUUCACAAGCCAGAGGACCCAACCUCCCCCCAGCCAGGGGCCCCAUCUCCUCCCAGACCCUGACAAGCGCCCCUUCAGAGGCUGCUGCAAAGAGCAAGAGAUCGAGCAGAGAAGGAUUCUCCAUAACCAACAAAAGUGGAAAACUCCAAACCCGUUCCCUUUCUUGACACACAAAUGUGUGCUUUCACAUUCAAGUGUUUUCGACAUUCCUUAAACACAGCAUCUCAGAGCUGUAGGGCUAAGAAAAGCUCUUGUGCCUAUUUCAAGGCUCCCUGAGAAAUGCUUUCAAAUUUCCUAAGAGUAAUUUCUAGAGAGUCCUGUAAGGGUUGUUGGCGGGCUAACCCAGGUAACUGCAUUUUAUGUCCCAAAUCAAAAAAGUACACUUAAAGAAAAAAAAAAAAAAAAACUUCAAAUUUAAGAAAAAUCAUCAUGUUACUUCAUAUUCAUGCUUUGUUGUUGGGUUGUUUUUUUUUUUUGUCUUUUGUCUUUUUAGGGCCACACCCGUGGCAUAUGGAGAAAAAAGAAUGGAUGUAUGUAUAUGUAUGACUGAUUCACUGUGCUGAAACUAAUUUCACGCCUGAAACUGUAAUACACUGUAAAUCAACUCUACUCCAAUAAAAUUAAAUUUUAAAAAUUUAUAUGUAUACAGAUACAUAUGAAUAUAUGUUCAUAUAUGAAUGUCCAUUCUCUGCUAAUAGCUAUUUAUUCAGAAUAAAACCAACCACAAAACACUGUACCCUUUCCUAAGGCACAGUAUCUUACUGGGGGCUGUUUAUUUUGUUUUUUUUUUUUCCCCUUUUUCAAAGUUAAAAAAAGGAAGCAGAAAAAUAAUAAAAUCUGGUGGUUACAACACACCCAGCAACUGUUCAAGAAUAUUAAUGACUCAGCUCCCUGGAGCUAUGUUAGCUGGCUGGUAAUACGCUGGGAAAACCAUUCUGGGUCCGUACAGUAUCAUUUACAUAAAGCUUAUGGAAAGGCAAUUCUAACAGCCGGGCAGGCACAACUGACAAACUACCACUAAUCCUUACAAGCGCACAGGGCAGGUGUGAGAAAUAGCACUAACAACUCUUGGUAUUAUGUAUUUCUGUUUUCU